rnacentral:rRNA from 1 species
UACGUAGGGGGCAAGCGUUGUCCGGAAUCAUUGGGCGUAAAGAGCGUGUAGGCGGCCCGAUAAGUCCGCCGUGAAAGCCCAGGGCUCAACCCUGGGAUGCCGGUGGAUACUGUCGGGCUAGAAUCCGGAAGAGGCGAGUGGAAUUCCUGGUGUAGCGGUGAAAUGCGCAGAUAUCGGGAAGAACACCAAUAGCGAAGGCAGCUCGCUGGGACGUUACUGACACUGAGGCGCGAAAGCGUGGGGAGCGAACAGG